CCCCCCUCAGGGUCACACCUGGAGAGUUUCCAGUACUUUACCAGUCUCGACUAUGGGAGGGAGAGUCAAACAGAGACCUACUCGUUCUAUUCCUAGCUUGGGCAGUGGCUAGUGAGUGGAAGGCAAUCUGCCACAAGU